rnacentral:lncRNA from 1 species
UCUUUUUUCUUUUUUUGUUGUUUCCUCCUUUGCCUUAUCUUCGAAGGUAUUAGCUGCUUUCAUUAUAUAUGCUUAGUUCGUUUUAUUUAAUGAAUGAAGCAGAUGGGUUGCUAUCUUUUUCUAAAAAAAUAAAAAGAAAAAAAAAGAGAAGUAUGAGACGUGAGGGACGGAAUGAUAAAUAGUUUAUGAUCAUCAUGAUUAUCAUGCGAGAAAAAAUUAAAAAAUUAUAAUAGUAAUAACACAUAGAACAUAUUCUAAAUUAAAUUUAUAACAAAUUUAAUAAUAAUUAUCGACUGUUCUUAACAUAAGUAACAAAGAGCUUGAUAAAUGAUAGUUGAUAUUUAAGAUCCCAAAUUCGAAACCUAAUUGCUUCACAUUUUAAGCUACGUUUAUUUCUAAAAAAGUAAAUAAAGUAGUAGCACGCUGCCUUCUUCUAAAAAAACAAAUUUAAUAAUAAUUAAUAAAGAUUUUAGAAAACAUGCUUGUAGAGUUUGUUUAAAAUAUUGUACCAUUCAAAAGAUUCAGGAACGACAUUCUACAUCAAAAUAUUUUUUUUUGAGAGAUAGGUAGCACGCUACUCGCUUCGUUUAUUUCAUUUAGAAAUAAACUUAGCUGAAAAUGUGAAUCAACUAGAAUUCAAACUUGGGUCUCGGGUACCAACCAACAUACUCUUUGCCACUUGCUCUAGGGAUGGACGGUAAAAUCUACAUAAAAAAAUUACUAAGUUAUGAUCGUAAAUAGGACCUUCU